GAUGAACGCUGGCGGCGUGCCUAAUACAUGCAAGUCGAGCGAACAGACGAGGAGCUUGCUCCUCUGACGUUAGCGGCGGACGGGUGAGUAACACGUGGAUAACCUACCUAUAAGACUUGGAUAACUUCGGGAAACCGGAGCUAAUACCGGAUAAUAUAUUGAACCGCAUGGUUCAAUAGUGAAAGACGGUUUUGCUGUCACUUAUAGAUGGAUCCGCGCCGCAUUAGCUAGUUGGUAAGGUAACGGCUUACCAAGGCAACGAUGCGUAGCCGACCUGAGAGGGUGAUCGGCCACAUUAGAACUGACACAAGGACCAGACUCUUAAGGGAGGCCGCAGUAGGGCAUCUUCCGCAAUGGGCGAAAGCCUGACGGAGCAACGACGUGUGAGUGAUGAAGGUAUUCGGAUCGUAAAACUCUGUUAUUAGGGAAGAACAAAUGUGUAAGUAACUAUGCACGUAUUGACGGUACCUAAUCAGACAGAAACGGAUACCUACGUG
rnacentral:rRNA from 1 species